rnacentral:rRNA from 1 species
CGAGCGUAGGUGGCUUGAUAAGUCAGAUGUGAAAUCCCCGGGCUUAACCUGGGAACUGCAUCUGAUACUGUUAGGCUAGAAUAGGUGAGAGGAAGGUAGAAUUCCAGGUGUAGCGGUGAAAUGCGUAGAGAUCUGGAGGAAUACCGAUGGCGAAGGCAGCCUUCUGGCAUCAUAUUGACACUGAGGUUCGAAAGCGUGGGUAGCAAACAGGAUUAGAUACCCUGGUAGUCCACGCCGUAAACGAUGUCUACUAGUCGUUGGGUCCCUUGAGGACUUAGUGACGCAGCUAACGCAAUAAGUAGACCGCCUGGGGAGUACGGCCGCAAGGUUAAAACUCAAAUGAAUUGACGGGGGCCCGCACAAGCGGUGGAGCAUGUGGUUUAAUUCGAUGCAACGCGAAGAACCUUACCUGGUCUUGACAUAUCUAGAAUCCUGCAGAGAUGCGGGAGUGCCUUCGGGAAUUAGAAUACAGGUGCUGCAUGGCUGUCGUCAGCUCGUGUCGUGAGAUGUUGGGUUAAGUCCCGCAACGAGCGCAACCCUUGUCCUUAGUUACCAGCGGGUUAAGCCGGGAACUCUAAGGAUACUGCCAGUGACAAACUGGAGGAAGGCGGGGACGACGUCAAGUCAUCAUGGCCCUUACGACCAGGGCUACACACGUGCUACAAUGGUAGGUACAGAGGGCAGCUACACAGCGAUGUGAUGCGAAUCUCAAAAAGCCUAUCGUAGUCCAGAUUGGAGUCUGCAACUCGACUCCAUGAAGUAGGAAUCGCUAGUAA